rnacentral:rRNA from 1 species
UACAGAGGGUGCAAGCGUUAAUCGGAAUUACUGGGCGUAAAGCGUGCGUAGACGGUUAUUUAAGUCAGGUGUGAAAGCCCCGGGCUCAACCUGGGAAUUGCAUUGAGACUGAAUAGCUAGGUGCGGAAGAGGGAAGCGGAAUUUCCGGUGUAGCGGUGAAAUGCGUAGAUAUCGGAAGGAACACCAGUGGCGAAAGCGGCUUCCUGGUCCAGCACCGACGUUCAGGCACGAAAGCGUGGGGAGCAAACAGG